CUUCCCAGCCCCAGGAACACAUUUCUCCAAGAAAACGGGCCUUUGGAGGAAGGACAGCUUGGUGAGAAAAGAGAACAUGAGUCCAUUUCUGAAGGAGAGUGAAAAGAAGCCGCGACGAUUCUCUGCCCUGCUGUACCACCGAACGCCGGGGACGGGCGCGCUGGGAGCUGGCAUCGCCUAAGACAGGUAACGCUCUGUGAUCCAUGAAGCAUUGGAAAGAAUUUUGAG